rnacentral:lncRNA from 1 species
UUGAAGAACAACUCAAGUAAACCCUAAAUUUCUAGAUCCGGAAAUUAAAUGAUGCGGCGAGGGAAUUGAAACCUACAUGGGUAGGGAUUUAAAUCUGAAGCUUGAAACUUCACUUAGAUGGUGAUUUAGGAGAAAACCAAACAAGAACUGGAGGGUUGCUUACCUGCCGGAGUAGCUCCGACGGCUCUUCAGAUGUGGCGU